rnacentral:rRNA from 1 species
CCUACGGGAGGCAGCAGUGGGGAAUAUUGGGCAAUGGGCGCAAGCCUGACCCAGCAACGCCGCGUGAAGGAAGAAGGCCCUCGGGUUGUAAACUUCUUUUGUCAGGGACGAAGAAAGUGACGGUACCUGACGAAUAAGCCACGGCUAACUCCGUGCGAGCCGCCGCGUAAAUCCGUAGGUGGCAAGCGUUAUCCGGAUUUAUUGGGUUUAAAGGGUGCGCAGGGGGUCUGUUAAGGCAGCGUUCAAGGCCCGGGGUCCAAGUCAGGACCGCCGUUGAAACUGGCAGUCUCGAGUGGGAGAGAGGUAUGCGGAAUGCGCGGUGUAGCGGUGAAAUGCAUAGAUAUCGCGCAGAACUCCGAUUGCGAAGGCAGCAUGCCGGCUCCACACUGACGCUGAGGCACGAAAGCGUGGGUAUCGAACAGGAUUAGAUACCCGAGUAGUC